rnacentral:rRNA from 1 species
GAUGAACGCUGGCGGCGUGCCUAAUACAUGCAAGUCGAGCGAAUGGAUUAAGAGCUUGCUCUUAUGAAGUUAGCGGCGGACGGGUGAGUAACACGUGGGUAACCUGCCCAUAAGACUGGGAUAACUCCGGGAAACCGGGGCUAAUACCGGAUAACAUUUUGAACCGCAUGGUUCGAAAUUGAAAGGCGGCUUCGGCUGUCACUUAUGGAUGGACCCGCGUCGCAUUAGCUAGUUGGUGAGGUAACGACUCACCAAGGCAACGAUGCGUAGCGGACCUGAGAGGGUGAUCGGCCACACUGGGACUGAGACACGGCCCAGACUCCUACGGGAGGCAGCAGUAGGGAAUCUUCCGCAAUGGACGAAGGUCUGACGGAGCAACGCCGCGUGAGUGAUGAAGGCUUUCGGGUCGUAAAACUCUGUUGUUAGGGAAGAACAAGUGCUAGUUGAAUAAGCUGGCACCUUGACGGUACCUAACCAGAAAGCCACGGCUAACUACGUGCCAGCAGCCGCUGUAA